rnacentral:rRNA from 1 species
ACGGAGGGUGCAAGCGUUAUUCGGAAUUACUGGGCGUAAAGCGCGUGCAGGCGGGCGAGCAAGUCUGAUGUGAAAGCCCCGGGCUUAACCUGGGAAGGGCAUUGGAAACUGUUCGUCUUGAGUUCUGGAGAGGAAGAGGGAAUUUCCGGUGUAGAGGUUAAAUUAUUAGAGAUCGGGAGGAAGACCAGAGGCGAAGGCGCUCUUCUGGACGGCAACUGACGCUGAGGCGCGAAAGCGUGGGGAGCAAACAG